rnacentral:sRNA from 1 species
CUCCUGGGGAGUGAUGAGCGGGAGCGGCUCUGGGCCGAGCUGCUGCGCACGGUGAGCCCAGAGCUGAUCCUGGAUCACGAGGUGCCUCCACUGCCCGCCUUCCCUGGACAGGAGCCCAGGUGCGGCCCGGAGCCCACUGAAGUCUUCACUGUCGGACCCAAGACCUUUUCCUGGACACCCUUUCCGCCGGACCUGUGGGGCCCGGGCCGUUCCUAUCGGCUGCUUCGCGGGGCAGGAGGGCACCUGGAAUCCCCCGCCAGGUCCCUGCCCCAGCGCCCGGCACCUGAUCCCUGCAGGGCCCCCAGGGUGGAGCAGCAGCCGUCUGUGGAGGGUGCCGCGGCCCUGCGCAGCUGCCCCAUGUGCCAGAAGGAGUUCGCCCCCAGGUGAGUGGGCCACCCCUGCGCCCGGCCCGGUUAUCCAUCCGUGUUUGGAAACCAUAGCCGUUUAGAAGGUCAAGAGGUGGCCGAGCUCAGUGCUGGCUUUUAAAGCCCUGUUUCACACGUGGAAAGGUGGCCCAGUGCUGUGGCCUGGCAGGUCCAGGUGGCUCUCUGUCACGGGUCUGGGGUCCACCUGCUUGCCGUGCUCCGGGGGCCCACAGACAGCACAGAAGGAAGGCUGGGAGCACUGACCCCGGGUCCACCUGGCCGUCCUGGAAGCCGAUGGCACCAGCGUCCCCAGGCCCAGAGCACGGGAACACCUUCCCGAGAGUGGGUCAUGGGUUUUAAAAAUGAAGGCCAUCUUUUUUUGUCUGGAGAUGCUUUUUCUUAUUUUAGAAACCCAAUGUAUAUUUUUAUAUAUUUUUUAAGUAAAGGGGAAUGGAACCCAGUUUUGCUAAGAAGAUAACCCAAACUGCCCAGUGCCUGGCCUCGUGUCUGGCGACCUCUGGGCCCUUGGCCUCCGGAGCAGGUACUGGGGCUGGGGUGGUGUGAAUGACGCUGGUUCGUAACUUUUGGUUGAGUUAAUGGGCAGCAGGUUUCAGAUCUUAUAUGGCCUGGAGACCAGGUCCUUCAGUCAUGCCUGAUGCCCCUGGUCUUCUAGAAGCAAAAACAGCUCGGGAAUGCGAAGGGACCGGAGUCCAAAGUUAGCAGCCAACAACAACAACAACAAAAGAAAUCCAGGGGGCUGGGCACGGUGGCUCACACCUGUAAUCCCAGCACUUUGGGAGGCUGAGGCAGGUGGGUUGCUGGAGCCCAGGAAUUUGAGACCAGCCUGGGCAACAAAGCAAAAUCCCAUCUUUACACGCCUGGGCGUGGUGGCGCGUGCCUGUGGUCCUAGCUACUCUGGAGGCUGAAGUGGGAGGAUUCCCUUGAGCCAGGAAUUGGAGGCUAUAGUGAACUAUGAUUGCACCACUGCACUCCAGCCUGGGUGACAGAGUAAGACCCUGAAUCUAAAAAAAAAAAAAGUCCACGGACAGAAGGUACCGUUGGGAGCCCUGGGGAGAAAUCCAUGCUCUUGGCUGAAGCUCUGAGAUCCUUGUUGCUGUCAGGGCGCUGCCCCCCACCCCCCGGGGAGGGGCUUUUGUCUUUGCAUCGCCUGCUUUUCCAGAGAGUCUAAAAAAAGACUCCUGAAGACAAGGACGUUCACGAGGAAAAACUUGCCGUUUUGAGCUUUUUAAGCAGUUGCUGAAAGCUUGGCAGACUGCCUCGAUUUUUCCUAAGUAGGCGUCAAUGAAGUCAGGUCCAGGCCUUGGUGUGUCUGGAAUGCUUCGAGCACAUUCGAACACUUGAUCGUAAGGGAGAGCGGGUACUUUGGAACUGGAACUCACCCGAGGCUGUGGCCACGGCAUGGGCAGGCUAGCUGGGGGACAAGCCCCAUAUCUUUGGGAACAAGGGUUUGCACAGCCACCCUGGGAUGCCCUGGGACUCCACACAGGACCCCAGCAGGGAGGCCACCUGGAUUGGAGGGUCUGGUCUAACAGCCGGACUUGGUCUUGAACCGUCGCCCUGUCCCGCACAGGCGCCUGCCGAGCCCAGAGCCCUGGCAGAGGCGGGUCUGAGGAGUGGAGCUGCCGGGAGGCCUCCCAUUUCUCCCGGCCUUGGUGUUCUCCGGGUCACCCGGAGGACCGUCAACUGCUGGAUUUGACAAACUACGUAGAAUGUUCUUUGUGUCUUUAAGAUCCUCUGUGGUCCUGUUUGGACAUUUUGUGCAUUUUAAGACACCUGGGGGUCACGUGGGUGGAUGGGAAGCCAGGCACCUGGUGAGGGGUGAGGAUGUUGGGAGCCGGGGAGCCGGGCACCGGUGGGGGGAGGAUGUGGGGGAGGAUGUCGGGAGCCAGAGCUGCGUUUUGUCUCUGCUGAUGUGGCGAGGCCCUGGGUUGAUCAUUGGGAUUUUUUUUUUUUUUUUUUUUUGAGACGGAGUCUCGCUGUGUCGCCCAGGCUGGAGUGCAAUGGCACGAUCUCGGCUCACUGCAAGCUCCGCCUCCCGGGUUUACGCCAUUCUCCUGCCUCAGCCUCCCGAGUAGCUGGGACUACAGGCGUCCGCCACUGCGCCCGGCUAAUUUUUUGUAUUUUUAGUAGAGACGGGGUUUCAUCAUGUCAGCCAGGAUGGUCUCGAUCUCCUGACCUCAUGAUCCGCCCGCCUCGGCCUCCCAAAGUGCUGGGAUUACAGGCGUGAGCCACCGCGCCUGGCUGGUCGUUGGGAUUUUAACAGCCCUGAGGCCCCUCACGCUGCCAGGUGCCAGCCCACCCUGCAGCCCUGCUCCCCUGCCCACACGCAGAAGACACCAGAGGCAUCUGGGCUGAGCCCCCACUGUCCUGCAGCCGGGCUGGCCCAUCCACACUGCAGGGCCUGGUUGUGUCUGCUCAGUAGCCGAAGCCUCACGAACGGGGCAGAUCAGGCCGGGACAAAGCUCUUCCGCUACAGGCAGGGGUCUGAAGGCAUCUCAGAGGGGUCUGAAGGCAUCUCAGUGUCCCCAACCAAGGGACACUACCUGGAAACCCCGGGACAAGAUGACCUCGGUUCAGAUCUUAGGACCUUCUGGCAGCCUUAGAGAAAGCUUGUGGAGGGAGGGGCUGCCCAUCCCAGGAUGGGCAGAAGCCGGAAAGUCUCAGACUGAGUGACCCUCGGGGGCUUCAGAAGGCACUGGGUGGGCUCUGCCAGAGUGAGAAGGCAGCUGAUGACUGCUGGAGCCGGCCCCGGGAGUGGGGGUCCAGCUAUGGUCUGGAGAGGGGGACUUGAGGGUUGCAGUGGCCACACAGAUGGGACACAGCAGAGCCCAAGGGCAAAACGGUGUGUCGUGGACUGGUCUGAGGGCAGAGGCUGUAGGGGAGCGAGGGGUGGUGUGGCUGACAGGUGGACAAAGGGACACGUGUCCUGUGGACUUGGCCGCUCAGUGGGGGUGUGUCCCCCAGCAGUGGUGUGUGAGGGAUGGUCACUCUGAUGGGACACUGACCACUUGGCCUCCAGCAAGAUCUAGGCCCAAGUCUAGGCUGAAGCCGCCCACUCGGUCCUGGGACAUCGUCCCCGGCAGCUCUGCUGAGCACACCAGCUCUGGCACUCUCGGGGAGUCAUGGCCGGAAGUCAACUGUCCUGGCUUCCAGGGCCACACCUUGGCCAGGCCUGGUGAUGGUCAUUUCCAGCCACUCCAGUUGGGCUGAUGGGGCCACAUGAGGCCGGGGAUAGAAGGUGGCUGCGCUCAGACACCCCUCCUGGCCCCCCACUGAGUGCAGGGCGCUGACCUGCAGGACUCGGAUGGGUUUUCUCCUGCCAGCCCUGCCUGGCCGGCCACCAUCCCAGCGCCAGCGCCCUCUUGAAAGGUGCAGGGGCCGCGUGGGGCCUCCCAGAGUGGCAGGUUGGCAGCCUGCACGCCGGUGACUGUGUCCUUCUCCGUGGUGAGGCUUGGUCCCUCCUCGUCAAAAACAUAAAUUCUCUGACGUGAGCUGCACAUCCACUGCCCAGCCAUGUUUACUUUCCUGCCUCCUGUAGACGCAGGGGCGGCGGCUCUCCCUGGCAGGCCACCCGCCGUCCUGCCUUUUCUCCGGGUCAGGCCGCCUGUCCGCUGGCUCCCUUGGUCUGCCGGGCUCCACGAUGAGCGCGUUCUCAAGCUGAGCAGGCGCCAGAAUCCCACAGAGGGGCUUGUUCAGACACAGGUCCCCACCCGCAGCUCGGACGCAGGGGCCUGGCUGAGAACCUCCGGCCUGGCGUGGCCUCCUCACGGGCAGAGUGUGGAGACACCACUGGCGGUUAAUGUGGUCUGCCGGGUGCAUCAGCCCCUGGGGUGGCCCCAUCCCUUGUUUCUGACCAGCCGGAUCCUCUCCAGCGGCAGCAGACGGCCCGGAGGUCCAGACAGUGCUCUCUGCGGCCAGCAUGCCGCGGAGGUGGCUGAGUGAGUGUGGCUCCUCCCUUACAGGCUGAGCCAGCUGGAUGUUGACAGCCACCUGGCCCAGUGUUUGGCCGAAAGCACAGAAGACGCGAUGUGGUGAGCGCCAUCCGGAGAGCCCUGCGCAGUGUGUGACGCCCGGACACGCGCUCUCCCGCCAGAAGCCCCGCCUCUCGGCUCCCCCGCAUGCGCAUUAAAGCAGGGCGGGCUCCUGUCUGUCUCUCCUCGUGUUGUGAUGAAACAUC